rnacentral:rRNA from 1 species
CUCCUACGGGAGGCAGCAGUGAGGAAUAUUGGUCAAUGGGCGAGAGCCUGAACCAGCCAAGUAGCGUGAAGGAUGACUGCCCUAUGGGUUGUAAACUUCUUUUAUAAAGGAAUAAAGUCGGGUAUGCAUACCCGUUUGCAUGUACUUUAUGAAUAAGGAUCGGCUAACUCCGUGCCAGCAGCCGCGGUAAUACGGAGGAUCCGAGCGUUAUCCGGAUUUAUUGGGUUUAAAGGGAGCGUAGGUGGACAGUUAAGUCAGUUGUGAAAGUUUGCGGCUCAACCGUAAAAUUGCAGUUGAUACUGGCUGUCUUGAGUACAGUAGAGGUGGGCGGAAUUCGUGGUGUAGCGGUGAAAUGCUUAGAUAUCACGAAGAACUCCGAUUGCGAAGGCAGCUCACUGGACUGCAACUGACACUGAUGCUCGAAAGUGUGGGUAUCAAACAGGAUUAGAUACCCUGGUAGUCCACACAGUAAACGAUGAAUACUCGCUGUUUGCGAUAUACAGUAAGCGGCCAAGCGAAAGCAUUAAGUAUUCCACCUGGGGAGUACGCCGGCAACGGUGAAACUCAAAGGAAUUGACGGGGGCCCGCACAAGCGGAGGAACAUGUGGUUUAAUUCGAUGAUACGCGAGGAACCUUACCCGGGCUUAAAUUGCAAAUGAAUAAUCUGGAAACAGGUUAGCCGCAAGGCAUUUGUGAAGGUGCUGCAUGGUUGUCGUCAGCUCGUGCCGUGAGGUGUCGGCUUAAGUGCCAUAACGAGCGCAACCCUUAUCUUUAGUUACUAACAGGUCAUGCUGAGGACUCUAGAGAGACUGCCGUCGUAAGAUGUGAGGAAGGUGGGGAUGACGUCAAAUCAGCACGGCCCUUACGUCCGGGGCUACACACGUGUUACAAUGGGGGGUACAGAAGGCAGCUACCUGGUGACAGGAUGCUAAUCCCAAAAGCCUCUCUCAGUUCGGAUCGAAGUCUGCAACCCGACUUCGUGAAGCUGGAUUCGCUAGUAAUCGCGCAUCAGCCAUGGCGCGGUGAAUACGUUCCCGGGCCUUGUACACACCGC